UACGUAGGUGGCAAGCGUUUGUCCGGAAUUAUUGGGCGUAAAGCGCGCGCAGGCGGUCCUUUAAGUCUGAUGUGAAAGCCCACGGCUCAACCGUGGAGGGUCAUUGGAAACUGGGGGACUUGAGUACAGAAGAGAAGAGUGGAAUUCCACGUGUAGCGGUGAAAUGCGUAGAGAUGUGGAGGAACACCAGUGGCGAAGGCGACUCUUUGGUCUGUAACUGACGCUGAGGCGCGAAAAGCGUGGGGAGCAAACAGG
rnacentral:rRNA from 1 species